rnacentral:rRNA from 1 species
CGGUGGUCCCACCUGACCCCAUGCCGAACUCAGAAGUGAAACGCCGUAGCGCCGAUGGUUGUGUGGGGUCUCCCCAUGCGAGAGUAGGGAACUGCCAGGC